AGUGAACGCUGGCGGUAGGCCUAACACAUGCAAGUCGAACGGCAGCACAGUAAGAGCUUGCUCUUACGGGUGGCGAGUGGCGGACGGGUGAGGAAUACAUCGGAAUCUACUUUUUCGUGGGGGAUAACGUAGGGAAACUUACGCUAAUACCGCAUACGACCUACGGGUGAAAGCAGUGGAUCUUCGGACCUUGCGCGAUUGAAUGAGCCGAUGUCGGAUUAGCUAGUUGGCGGGGUAAAGGCCCACCAAGUCGACGAUCCGUAGCUGGUCUGAGAGGAUGAUCAGCCACACUGGAAGUGAGACACGGUCCAGACUCCUAAGGGAGGCAGCAGUGGGGAAUAUUGGACAAAGGGCGCAAGUAUGAUCCAGCCAUACCGCGUGGGUGAAGAAGGCCUUGGGGUUGUAAAGCCCUUUUGUUGGGAAAGAAAAGCAGCAGGUUAAUACCCCGCUGUUCUGACGGUACCCAAAGAAUAAGCACCGGCUAACUUCGUG
rnacentral:rRNA from 1 species